GUAAUGAAGUGGCAUCUGACACAUGACAAGCUGCUCCUGUUUGCACAGCAACUUCAACAUUGUGUACUGUGAUCACUGUCUAGUUCAGAGGUAGGUAACCUUGGGCAGUCCAGAUGCUGUGAAUUACAUCUCCCAUAAUCCCGCAAACCAUUAUGGGAGGUGUAGUCCAAAACAUCUGGGAUACCGAAUGCGUAUGAAUGAAACGUAUGGUGUGUGUGAAUGGUCAGUAACAAGGGUUGAAGCCUUGACGUGGCGUUACUGCUCACAUGUGUAUUCAUGUGCCAAUUCAACCAAUGUGAGUCACUGUACUACUUAUAAGGUAACCAAAAGUACUGUGAUUGUGGAGAAUGAAACGCCUGUAUCACCUACACACUGUUUACACUGUGACAUUAUCUCCUUAACACGGCUUACACUGUGACCGUUUCCCUUAAACACUGCUUACACUGUGACCGUAUCCCAUAAACACUGCUUACACUGUGACCCUAUCGCCUAAACACUGCUCAUACUGGUAACGUAUCACCUAAACACUGCUCAUACUGUGACCGUAUCUCUAAACGCGCUUUACACUGACCCAUUAUCUCCUAAACACUGCUUACAUUGACCAUAUCCCCUAAACACUGCUUACACUGUGACCGUAUCCCAUAAACACUGCUCACACUGUGACCGUAUCUCCUAAACACUGCUCACACUGUGACCGUAUCUCCUAAACACUGCUUACACUGUGACCGUAUCUCCUAAACACUGCUUACACUGACCGUAUCUCCUAAACACUGCUUACACUGACCGUAUCCCCUAAACACUGCUUACAUUGUGACCGUAUCCCAUAAACACUGCUCACACUGUGACCGUAUCUCCUAAACACUGCUUACACUGCGACCGUAUCCCAUAAACACUGCUCACACUGUGACUGUAUCUCCUAAACACUGCUCACACUGUGACCCUAUCGCCUAUACACGGCUUACACUGUGACCCUAUUGCCUAUACACUGCUUACGCUGUGACCCAAUCGCCUAAACACUGCUUAGAUUGUGACUGGAUCCCAUAAACACUGCUCACACUGUGACCGUAUCUCCUAAACACUGCUCACACUGUGACCCUAUCGCCUAUACACUGCUUACACUGUGACCCUAUUGCCUAUACACUGCUUAUGCUGUGACCCAAUCGCCUAAACACUGCUUACAUUGUGACUGGAUCCCAUAAACACUGCUUACACUGUGACCGUAUCUCCUAAACACUGCUCAUACUGUGACCGUGUCUCCUAAAUACUGCUUACACUGUGACCCUAUCGCCUAUACACUGCUUACACUGUGACCCUAUUGCCUAUACACUGCUUACACUGUGACCCAAUCGCCUAAACACUGCUCACACUGUGAAUGUUAUUUUUUCAAGUUAGUUUUAGUGUUUGCGGUUUCAUUGAUUUGUUAACCACUCUCCUCAAUCUUCUGUUCUGUGUUUUCUUACAUUUGUGGGAAGAACAAGGUGAUCCUCUCAAUUUUACACUCCUCUACUGAUGGUUCCAGUGCCAGAGACAAACCCACCACCAUUAACCUCGGCCUGCUCAAACAGGAGAGAUUACCUUCUUCUACAGAAAACUUCCAUAUGGCUGUUUCGGAACACAUGCUGCAGACAUGAUUUAACCUUCAUCUUCCAGUGAUUGAGAAUCGUGGACCGUCCAGGGAAAGAGACCAUUAUAUUAUUAAGAUACUACCUUCCUAAUGCCAUACAGACUUUUUUUACAUUUGAUUGAAC